rnacentral:misc_RNA from 1 species
GCAAACUUGGUCAUUUAGAGGAAGUAAAAGUCGUAACAAGGUCUCCGUUGGUGAACCAGCGGAGGGAUCAUUACCGAGUUUACAACUCCCAAACCCCUGUGAACAUACCACUUGUUGCCUCGGCGGAUCAGCCCGCUCCCGGUAAAACGGGACGGCCCGCCAGAGGACCCCUAAACUCUGUUUCUAUAUGUAACUUCUGAGUAAAACCAUAAAUAAAUCAAAACUUUCAACAACGGAUCUCUUGGUUCUGGCAUCGAUGAAGAACGCAGC